UUGGUUGUGCCCUAGCUACCAGAACCACCAUUUCUGAACUCUUAUUGCUCUGUAACAAUCCUAUAGCUCAGGCAAGUCAAUUUUUCGUUGUGAAUCCUUUUUUUCAAAUUGUGUUCUGUGUAGCUUGUAGACUGGUUGUGCCCUUGCAUUCAGUUAUUAUUCUAUGUUUGAUAUUCACAAUUUCAUACAGGAUGCUGCUGUAUUAAUUGCUUUCCUGAUUUCUGUCGUGUUCCACGAGGUUUGUGUCUCUCUCUAAUGCUAUUUUAUCUAAUGAAAGAAGCAUCCAUUAUUUUCUUUUCUCUGGUUUGAGAAGUUGAAGGAAGGUGAUGUUGCCCCAGUCGUAGUCAUUACCUCUGAAGUAUUAUUUCUCGUUUUAUCCUUGAGAAGUUGUCAGUGUGGCUAAUGCCGCUGCUAUUUGUUCGGCUCAAGACUGUUGCUGCUGCUACCAGUUAGGAUGAACGGGUCAGGCUUAAUUUAUGUGGAUUUCGACACAUUGAGGUAGGGGAUUCAUUUCCAAACUAAACAUUUUAAAUCAUGAAUGCCAAUAAAGUGUUAGAUGAGGCUCUUCUAAAAUGCAAAUAGUUUAAAGAGUAAAGUGUUGUAUAUAUACAAACACUUAUGAUAAGAAAAUUAAUCUUCUUGCCUUAGGCUUGUUUGUAUGUUUUACAUUUACUUCUAGCAGCUGGUAAGUUAUCCUUCUUAGUUACUGAAUGAACAAUACAAGGCUGGAUUAAUUUCACACAAAUUUUAUUCAUGAGGCAAGGAAUUCUGAGAGAGCAGCCAAAAACUUGAGAAACAACAAAUUGAUCAGGGUUCCUCAUGUAUUCUGGGAUUUGACUAGCAGGCAAGUCCUAACAAUGCAGUUUUAUACAGGGCAAAAGCAGGAGGACAUGAUGUGAAGAAAAUAUGUUCUAUACAAAUAUAAGAUGGGAUGGGUCUUAUAAUGAUUUUGGUUAUCUAACUAUAUUAUUUUGAUGUGUUCUUUACAUUUUGAUAAGAGACGUUAUAAGGUAUUACAUGUAAUGGAUAAAUUACACCUUAUUUUGAUUAGUAUUGUAAUGGAUAUCUAGUUUUUAAUGAAACUUUCAUGAUUUACAUUUAUUGAA